rnacentral:rRNA from 1 species
GUCGAAGUUAGUAAGAGCGAACGGAGGAUGCCUGGGCUUUUGGAGGCGAAGAAGGACGCGGCAAGCUGCGAAAAGCGACGGGGAUCUGCCAACAAGAAAUGAUCCGUCGAUGUCCGAAUGGGGCAACCCAUACAGUUGAAGACUGUAUACACUUUAUAAGUGAGCAAACGCAGAGAACUGAAACAUCUUAGUACCUGCAGGAAGAGAAAGAAAUUAUCGAUUUCCAAAGUAGUGGCGAGCGAAAUGGAAAUAGCCUAAACCGAUGUUGUUACGGCAAUAUCGGGGUUGUAGGAGUCAGUUAACGUUACAAUUUCACAAGUGGAAGAAUCUGGAAAGUUUCAUCGAAGAGGGUGAUAAUCCCGUACACGUAAAAUAAGUUGUAAUUAUUGACCACCUGAGUAGGGCGGGACACGAGGAAUCCUGUCUGAAUCUACGGGGCCCAUCCCGUAAGGCUAAAUACUCCCAAAAGACCGAUAGUGGACCAGUACCGGGAGGGAAAGGUGAAAAGAACCGUGAGCAACGGAGUGAAAAAGAACCUGAAACCGUUCGUUUACAAGCGGUCGGAGCAGCGUAAGCUGCGACGGCGUGCCUUUUGCAUAAUGAGCCUACGAGUUGUUGAUCAAUAGCGAGGUUAAGCACUUCAGGUGCGUAAGCCGAAGCGAGAGCGAGUCUUACAAGGGCGCAUAGUUAUUGGUCACAGACGCGAAACCUAGUGAUCUACCCUUGGCCAGGUUGAAGUAGCCGUGACAGGCUAUGGAGGACCGAACCGGUUUACGUUGAAAAGUAUUCGGAUGAGCUGAGGGUAGGGGUGAAAGGCUAAUCAAACUGGGAGAUAGCUCGUACUCCCCGAAAUGUCUUUAGGGACAGCCUCACAAGUGCUUAUCGGAGGUAGAGCGACUGAUAUGAUGCGAGGGCUUCACCGCCUAUCAA